UACGUAGGGUGCAAGCGUUGUCCGGAAUUAUUGGGCGUAAAGAGCUCGUAGGCGGUUUGUCGCGUCUGGUGUGAAAAUCCAGGGCUUAACCCUGGACCUGCAUCGGGUACGGGCAGACUAGAAUGCAGUAGGGGAGACUGGAAUUCCUGGUGUAGCGGUGAAAUGCGCAGAUAUCAGGAGGAACACCGAUGGCGAAGGCAGGUCUCUGGGCUGUAACUGACGUGAGGAGCGAAAGCAUGGGGGAGCGAACAGG
rnacentral:rRNA from 1 species